AUGGCUUUCAUUCACUUUGACUUUGCUGAUUACUUCACUGUCUUAUGCAGCAUCCCCCUUAGAAAUGAGAUCUUGUCAGGUUUUAUAUUAGGCUUUGCUACAGUAAAACAUCAUGUGGUCAAAAUCUGGAAAGAGAGUCAGAACCCAGCAGCCGUGGACCCCGUGGAGCCGCCAGCCCCGGGCCUGUUCCGAGACUUCGGGGAACCUGGUCCAAGCUUUCCGGGAACGGCGGCAGGUACCGCGGCCCCGCGCAGCCCCUGGUGGCAGCGUAGGGCAGCCCAGCAGAAGUUCCACCUCGUGCCAAGCGUCAACAACAUGAGUGACAGCCAGGAGCUGCAGUGGAUGGUACAGCCUCAUUUCCUGGGGCCCAGCAGUUACCCCAGGCCUCUGAACUACUCCCACAACCCCAGCCAGGAGUCAUCCGGGCCCCAGGGCCGCCUCCAGGGGUACGUCUAAGGCCUUGUGAACAGAUCAACCUGGAGGAAGAGGAGCGCCGCCGAGUAAGGCGGGAGCGGAACAAGCUGGCUGCGGCCAAGUGCGGGAACCGGAGGAAGGAAAUGACCGACUUCCUGCAGGUGGAGACUGACAAACUGGAAGAUGAGAAAUCCGCGCUCCCGAGAGAGAUUGAGGAGCUGCAGAAGCAGAGGGAGCGCCUGGAGCUGGUGCUGGAAGCCCACUGACUCAUCUGCAAAAUCCCCGAAGGAGCCAAGGAGGGGGACACAGGCGGUACCAGCAGCACCAGCAGCCCGCCAGCCCCCUGCCGCCCUGUACCUUGUAUCUCCCUUUCCCCAGGGCCUGUACUUGAACCUGAGGCACUGCACACCCGCAUGCUUAUGACCACACCCUCCCUAACUCCUUUCACCCCCAACCUGGUCUUCACCUAUGCCAGCACUCCUGAGCCCUGUGCCUCAGCUCGUGGCAAAGGAGUAGCAGCAGCAGCGGAGACCCUCUGACCCCCUUGGCUCUCCACCUGUUCUCGCUUUGUGAGGCACCCGAGCCUUACUCGCUGCAGGUGCCACCCUAAGCAACGUCUCCUCCCCUUCCCGCACCGGUCCAGCUGACCUGGACAGUAUCCCACACCCAACUCCAGCAGCUUCUUCUCCAUCCCUCUAAUGAGACUGACCAUAUUGUGCUUCACAGUAGAGCCAGCUUGGGGCCACCAAAGCUGCCCACUGUUUCUCAGGAGCUGGCCUCUCUAGCACAAUUUGCACUAAAUCAGAGACAAAAUGUUUCCCAUUUGUGCCGGAGGAAUCCUGGCAGCCCAGAGACUUUGUAGAUCCUUAGAGGUCCUCUGGAGCCCUAACCCCUUCCAGAUCACUGCCACACUCUCCAUUACCCUCUUCCUGUGAUCCACCCAACCCUACCCCCUGACAGAAGGUGCCACUUUACCCACCUAGAGCACUAACUCUCCAGCCCCACUGCCAGCAGCAGCAGGUGAUUCGAGCAGGCCAUUUUGCCGCCCCCUCCUGAACCGCACAGCUCAGGAGGCGCCCAUGGUUUCUGUGAUGAGCUGAUCUGCGGAUCUCAGCUUUGAGAAACCUUCAGCUCCAGGGAAUCCAAGCCUCCAUAGUGAGGGCAGCUGCUGUUUAUUUUCCUAAAGAGAGUAUUUUUAUACAAACCUACCAAAAUGGAAUAAAAGGCUUGAAGCUUAAAAUAAAAAAUUUAAAAAAGGUCUGGAAAGAGAAGGAAACCUAGAGAAAUAAGGCUAACAUUUGGGUCUUCAUUUCCCUCAGUCGCAUCUGCCAGUUCCAUCCUAGGCCUCAAACUUUUAGUAAUGUCUGGUCAUCAAAAAAUAACCAGGAAUAUCAGAAGACAAUAUGAUAUGAUAGAAAAAAACAAAAGAAACAACAGGAAAUAGACCCCUAGUGAUCCAGAAAAUAGAGUUAUCAAGCAGACUUCAUUUUUAAAAUAAAAGACUUUCAUUUUUAAAAUAAAAAUAAAAGAUAAGAUGGAGAAUUUCAGUAUAGAGCCAGAAACUUUAAAAAAUAAUCAAGUGGAAAUUUUAGAACUGCAAAAUAUGAUAAGUAAUGGGUAGGCUUAAUAGUAGAUCAGGACAGUGAAAAGAUAAUUAUUAAACUAGAGGAUGGAUCAAAAGAAAAAUCCAGAGUGAAGCAUUGAGCAAAAAGAUGGAAAAUACAGAAAAGGGUGUAAGAGACAUAGUCCAACACAUAUCUUUGAAUCCUCCAAAGGGGGAGGAGAGAGAAUAAAGCAUAAGUAAUAUUUGAAGAGAUUAUGGGUAAGAAUUUUCCAAAACUGAUGAAAGACACCAAAGGACAGAUUCUAGUCCUAAAAACUUCAAAGAAGAUAAAUACAAAGAAAACCUCAUCGAGACCAUCCAUAUAAAACAGCUGAAAACAAAUAAAAGCUGGAUAAAAAGGACAGAUUACUUUACAAGCAUUAAUAGUAAGACUUACAGCUAACUUCUCAAUAGAAAUAAUGGAGGUGAGGGAACAAAGGGAUGAUGUAGUUACAGUGCCUGUAAGGGAAAGUAGUGUUCAAGAAUAAAGGUAAACAAAUAAUUGAAUUGUAUGCUUAAAUAGGUGAAUUUAUGAGGUGUAAAAUAAAGCUCUAAAUAAACCUGUAUAAAAAUGAAGGUAAAAUAGAGAUAUUAUCAGAGACAUGAAAACUAUGAAAAUUUAUUUUCAGCAGAUCUGCUUUAAAGAAAAUACUAAAGGGAAUUUUUCAGGCAGAGGAAAAUGAUUCCAGAAAGAAGCUUGGAGAUGCACGAAGAAAUGAAGAGCAAUGGGAAGGGUAAAUAUGUGUGUAUAUUUAAAUAAAUAUUGGCAAUAAACACAACAAAGCUGGUGUAACUCUAUUUACUGUAACAGGCAAAGUAGGUUUUUAAGGCAAAACUUAUUCAAGAUAUAAAGAUGGAUGUUUUAUAAUCAUGACAAGUCUCAUUGCCUCAGAAGAUAUGAUAGUUCUAAAUUUGUGUGCCUCUAAUAAUGUAGCUUCAAAAUACAUAAAAUUUACAGGCAAAUAGGUGCAUUCAUAAUCAUAGUGGGAGAUUUUAUAAAGAAAAGUGUAAGAUGGAGCAAUCAGAACCAAAAAAUCAGUAAGGUUAUAGAAAAUGUGGAUGCAGUUUAGAAAAGUCAAUUCCAAUUGGAUUAGUUCUGAAUGUGAAACACAAAAUAAUAAAACUUACAGAAAUAAUAACUCAGUAAUAUUUGAUUGGGGAAGAUUUAUUGAACAGGAAACACAGUGAAGGAAGUGAUUGAUAAAUUGUACUACAUUAAAGGACUUCUUUUCAUCAAGAUACUAUAAGAGAAUAAAAAGGCAAGUUAAAAAGUGUCAAAAGGUAUUUACAACAUUUUAUAAAGAACUCUUACAAAUCAAUAAGAGAAAGA